rnacentral:rRNA from 1 species
UACAGGGGGUGCAAACGUUGCUCGGAAUUAUUGGGCGUAAAGCGCGCGUAGGCGGCUACCUAAGUCGGAUGUGAAAGCCCCUGGCUUAACUGGGGAAGUGCACCCGAAACUGGGUAGCUAGAGUGCAAAAGAGGGUCGCGGAAUUCCCGGUGUAGAGGUGAAAUUCGUAGAUAUCGGGAGGAGCACCGGUGGCGAAGGCGGCGACCUGGGUGGAUACUGACGCUGAGGCGCGAAAGCGUGGGGAGCAAACAGG